rnacentral:rRNA from 1 species
GAUGAACGCUGGCGGCGUGCCUAAUACAUGCAAGUCGAGCGAACAGACGAGGAGCUUGCUCCUCUGACGUUAGCGGCGGACGGGUGAGUAACACGUGGAUAACCUACCUAUAAGACUGGGAUAACUUCGGGAAACCGGAGCUAAUACCGGAUAAUAUAUUGAACCGCAUGGUUCAAUAGUGAAAGACGGUUUUGCUGUCACUUAUAGAUGGAUCCGCGCCGCAUUAGCUAGUUGGUAAGGUAACGGCUUACCAAGGCAACGAUGCGUAGCCGACCUGAGAGGGUGAUCGGCCACACUGGAACUGAGACAUGGUCCAGACUCCUACGGGAGGCAGCAGUAGGGAAUCUUCCGCAAUGGGCGAAAGCCUGACGGAGCAACGCCGCGUGAGUGAUGAAGGUCUUCGGAUCGUAAAACUCUGUUAUUAGGGAAGAACAAAAGUGUAAGUAACUAUGCACGUCUUGACGGUACCUAAUCAGAAAGCCACGGCUAACUACGUG